rnacentral:sRNA from 1 species
UAAUGGAGAGCUUGACCUCAUCUGAUACCUUCACUGAAGGAAACAACUUAGUGUCUUUUGUGUUGAACACUGAGGUAAAAAAUUGGAAUAGUUGAUUGUAUGAACUCUGCUAAAAUUGAGUGCAUUUUACAUUUUUUAAGGCCUUGUUGGGCCCUGGUUAAAUAAUUAUUUUUAAAAAUCCUUAAGGAGCCUAUUAUAAACAGAUCUGUGGUCUUAAUGAAAUGUGAUUAAUACUGUGCAUUAUUUUAAGAACUUUUGACUUUUCAAAAAACUUUUACAACAUUUCCCAUUUGAUAGCGGCAUAGGUUUAAGCACCUCUCAUCUCUAAGUUAGUGGACAAGAAACCCUCAUGGAUAGUCUGAUAAUGUUUGCUACAAGUCCAUGUUGAGUUUUAUACUCCAUUUUAUUUUCAGUUUUAAAAACUGUGGUUAAAUAUGUGUAACAUAAAAUUUACGUUCUUAACCAUUUUUUGCGUAUACAGUUCGCUGGUAUUAAAUACAUUUAAAUAAUGUCAUGGAAUCAUUGCUACCACCCAUCUCUGUAACCUUUUGAUCAUGUAACACUGAAGCUCUGUUCCCAUUGAACUCUAUUCCCCCUUUCCUGCCAAGUCCCUGGCAACCACGAUUCUUCUUUCUGUCCUCUGAAUUUGACUACUUUAGGUUCUCAUAUACUUUAGGAGUCACACAGUAUUUGUUUUACUUAGCAUAAUGUCCCCAAAGCUCAUGCAUGUUGUAGCCUAUGUUAGAACUUCCUAAUGUUUCAGGCCAAAUACUAUUCCAUUGUAUGGAUAGGCCACAUUUUGCUUUUCCAUUCCUCUGUCCAUGGACACUUGUAUUGCUUCAUGUUUUAGCCAUUGUGAAACAUGCUGUUAUGAACAUGGGUGUACAGAUAGCUCCUGGAGACUCUGCUUUCCAUUUUUUUGGCUAAAUAGCCAGAAAUGGAGUUGCUUUUACAUUCCAAUUUUUAUUUAAAACAUUCAUAUCAUUGAGUGUUUUACUUAAUAGUAUAGUAGUUAACAAACUUAAUAAAGUAGUAUUUUGGUAAUAAUUUGCUGGUAGUCCAUUGUUCAGUUUUUUUAGGUAAAUUACACAGGACAUUUCAAGUGGACAUGAAACAUCUUGUGAUGUGGAAUCAUGCCCCAAGCUGAUGGCUAAACAUAUGAAAUGCCAUACCCUAAAUUUAGUAGAUUUAGUCUUUGCAAUUUAGGAGAUAACCUGUUAUGUUGUUAGGUUUUUGUCUAAAAGCUUUGUCCUCAUAUUUCCAACUUGCUGUAAAAUUUGUUUGUGAAGACAAAUAUUUUUGUAUGGGUUUUUUCUUUUUCAUAUUAAAAAGAAAUGUCCACAUUGAAAUUUUUUUGGAGUUUUUAGAGCUAAUAGUGCUUUUCAUAAUGUAGUGGGAAUGAGUGAUCAGUAAGCUCUUAGCAGUUUCCAUGCGUGCAUUUCUGUGCCUUGAAAUAAAUGACAGAUGAGUACAUUUGUGUUCUGUGUGUAAAAUGUGCUCUUUCCUCGUUGCACUUCCAUUUUGGAGGGCUUGUCUCUUGGUGAUCACACUUCAAAAUUCUCACAGCCCCCCUUGAACCAUUUAGGUGUUAGACGGUACCGACAACCAGUAUUUGGGCCUGCAGAUUGGACAGUCCCAGGAUGAGGAUGAGGAAGCCACAGGUAUUCUUCCUGAGGAAGCCUCGGAGGCCUUCAGGAACUCUUCCAUGGGUAUGUGGACUACAGGUGAUGCGCUACAAAGUGGUUUGUAUUCAGACCUGGACAUCUUAAUUAUAUCUUUGCUUCCAAGAAGAAAUCCUUUGAUACUGUUUUCUGAGUUCUGAAUAGCUGAUGAAAAUGACCAAUUGAGGAAUAAUCAUACUUUUUCUUGAUCUAAAUCUUAUACUUUUGAGUUAUCUUAGCAUAAAUGUAUAAUUGUAUUUUAAGUGGAAAUUUGUCACUUAAUCUUGAUUUCUCUGUUUUUAAAGCCCUUCAACAGGCACAUUUAUUGAAAAACAUGAGUCACAGCAGGCAGCCUUCUGACAGCAGUGUUGAUAAAUUUGUGUUGAGAGAUGAAGCUACUGAACCGGGUGAUCAAGAAAACAAGCCUUGCCGCAUCAAAGGUGACAUUGGACAGUCCACUGAUGAUGACUCUGCACCUCUUGUCCAUUGUGUCCGCCUUUUAUCUGCUUCGUUUUUGCUAACAGGGGGAAAAAAUGUGCUGGUUCCGGACAGGGAUGUGAGGGUCAGCGUGAAGGCCCUGGCCCUCAGCUGUGUGGGAGCAGCUGUGGCCCUCCACCCGGAAUCUUUCUUCAGCAAACUCUAUAAAGUUCCUCUUGACACCACGGAAUACCCUGAGGAACAGUAUGUCUCAGACAUCUUGAACUACAUUGAUCAUGGAGACCCACAGGUUCGAGGAGCCACUGCCAUUCUCUGUGGGACCCUCAUCUGCUCCAUCCUCAGCAGGUCCCGCUUCCACGUGGGAGAUUGGAUGGGCACCAUUAGAACCCUCACAGGAAAUACAUUUUCUUUGGCGGAUUGCAUUCCUUUGCUGCGGAAAACACUGAAGGAUGAGUCUUCUGUUACUUGCAAGUUAGCUUGUACAGCUGUGAGGCACUGUGUCAUGAGUCUCUGCAGCAGCAGCUACAGUGAGUUAGGACUGCAGCUGAUCAUCGAUGUGCUGACUCUGAGGAACAGUUCCUAUUGGCUGGUGAGGACAGAGCUUCUGGAAACCCUUGCGGAGAUUGACUUCAGGCUGGUGAGCUUUUUGGAGGCAAAAGCAGAAAACUUACACAGAGGGGCUCAUCAUUAUACAGGGCUUUUGAAACUGCAAGAACGAGUGCUCAAUAAUGUUGUCAUCCAUUUGCUUGGAGAUGAAGACCCCAGGGUGCGACAUGUUGCCGCAGCAUCAUUAAUUAGGCUUGUCCCAAAGCUGUUUUAUAAAUGUGACCAAGGACAAGCUGAUCCAGUAGUGGCCGUGGCAAGAGAUCAAAGCAGUGUUUACCUGAAACUUCUCAUGCAUGAGACGCAGCCUCCAUCUCAUUUCUCCGUCAGCACAAUAACCAGAAUAUAUAGAGGCUAUAACCUACUACCAAGCAUAACAGAUGUCACUAUGGAAAAUAACCUUUCAAGAGUUAUUGCAGCAGUUUCUCAUGAACUAAUCACAUCAACCACCAGAGCACUCACAUUUGGAUGCUGUGAAGCUUUGUGUCUUCUUUCCACUGCCUUCCCAGUUUGCAUUUGGAGUUUAGGUUGGCACUGUGGAGUGCCUCCACUGAGUGCCUCAGAUGAGUCUAGGAAGAGCUGUACUGUUGGGAUGGCCACAAUGAUUCUGACCCUGCUCUCGUCAGCUUGGUUCCCAUUGGAUCUCUCAGCCCAUCAAGAUGCUUUGAUUUUGGCCGGAAACUUGCUUGCAGCCAGUGCUCCCAAAUCUCUGAGAAGUUCAUGGGCCUCUGAAGAAGAAGCCAACCCAGCAGCCACCAAGCAAGAGGAGGUCUGGCCAGCCCUGGGGGACCGGGCCCUGGUGCCCAUGGUGGAGCAGCUCUUCUCUCACCUGCUGAAGGUGAUUAACAUUUGUGCCCACGUCCUGGAUGACGUGGCUCCUGGACCCGCAAUAAAGGCAGCCUUGCCUUCUCUAACAAACCCCCCUUCUCUAAGUCCCAUCCGACGAAAGGGGAAGGAGAAAGAACCAGGAGAACAAGCAUCUGUACCGUUGAGUCCCAAGAAAGGCAGUGAGGCCAGUGCAGCUUCUAGACAAUCUGAUACCUCAGGUCCUGUUACAACAAGUAAAUCCUCAUCACUGGGGAGUUUCUAUCAUCUUCCUUCAUACCUCAAACUGCAUGAUGUCCUGAAAGCUACACACGCUAACUACAAGGUCACCUUGGAUCUUCAGAACAGCACGGAAAAGUUUGGAGGGUUUCUCCGCUCAGCCUUGGAUGUUCUUUCUCAGAUACUAGAGCUGGCCACACUGCAGGACAUUGGGAAGUGUGUUGAAGAGAUCCUAGGAUACCUGAAAUCCUGCUUUAGUCGAGAACCAAUGAUGGCAACUGUUUGUGUUCAACAAUUGUUGAAGACUCUCUUUGGGACAAACUUGGCCUCCCAGUUUGAUGGCUUAUCUUCCAACCCCAGCAAGUCACAAGGCCGAGCACAGCGCCUUGGCUCCUCCAGUGUGAGGCCAGGCUUGUACCACUACUGCUUCAUGGCCCCGUACACCCACUUCACCCAGGCCCUCGCUGACGCCAGCCUGAGGAACAUGGUGCAGGCGGAGCAGGAGCACGACACCUCGGGAUGGUUUGAUGUCCUCCAGAAAGUGUCUACCCAGUUGAAGACAAACCUCACCAGUGUCACAAAGAACCGUGCAGAUAAGAAUGCUAUUCAUAAUCACAUUCGUUUGUUUGAACCUCUUGUUAUAAAAGCUUUAAAACAGUACACGACUACCACAUCUGUGCAGUUACAGAAGCAGGUUUUAGAUUUGCUGGCGCAGCUGGUUCAGUUACGGGUUAAUUACUGUCUUCUGGAUUCAGAUCAGGUGUUUAUUGGCUUUGUAUUGAAACAGUUUGAAUACAUUGAAGUGGGCCAGUUCAGGGAAUCAGAGGCAAUCAUUCCAAACAUCUUUUUCUUCUUGGUAUUACUAUCUUAUGAACGCUAUCAUUCAAAACAGAUCAUUGGAAUUCCUAAAAUCAUUCAGCUCUGUGAUGGCAUCAUGGCCAGUGGAAGGAAGGCUGUGACACAUGCCAUACCGGCUCUGCAGCCCAUAGUCCACGACCUCUUUGUAUUAAGAGGAACAAAUAAAGCUGAUGCAGGAAAAGAGCUUGAAACCCAAAAAGAGGUGGUGGUGUCAAUGUUACUGAGACUCAUCCAGUACCAUCAGGUGUUGGAGAUGUUCAUUCUUGUCCUGCAGCAGUGCCACAAGGAGAAUGAAGACAAGUGGAAGCGACUGUCUCGACAGAUAGCUGACAUCAUCCUCCCAAUGUUAGCCAAACAGCAGAUGCACAUUGACUCUCAUGAAGCCCUUGGAGUGUUAAAUACAUUAUUUGAGAUUUUGGCCCCUUCCUCCCUCCGUCCAGUGGACAUGCUUUUACGGAGUAUGUUCGUCACUCCGAACACAAUGGCGUCCGUGAGCACUGUUCAACUGUGGAUAUCGGGAAUCCUGGCCAUUUUGAGGGUUCUGAUUUCCCAGUCAACUGAAGAUAUUGUUCUUUCUCGUAUUCAGGAGCUCUCCUUCUCUCCAUAUUUAAUCUCCUGUACAGUAAUUAAUAGGUUAAGAGAUGGGGACAGUAAUUCAACGCUAGAAGAACACAGUGAAGGGAAACAAAUAAAGAAUUUGCCAGAAGAAACAUUUUCAAGGUAUGCUUUCUAUCGGAGCCUAUAACUAACCCAUGCCCUUUGGGAAGUCACAUGAUGUUUCGCAAUCAGUAAGUCUGGAAUAAUACCUGGUCUUGCUUCAGUUCUGAGUUGGGUAAAGAAGUCCGUAUCAGUGUAAUUUUCUAAUCCGUCCUGCAUUAUCUGUGGCUGUUGGUUCAUACCUGUCUUGAGGUUCUGUCACGUUCUGUCUCUUGUCCUCAGUAGAGAUGCUACAGCAGUGGCUCGCCUCAGGCAGGGCAGGGCAUUGGGUGGCUGUCCUGGGGGCAGGCAGUAGGGGCACACUGCCGUCAGGGAAGUUGAAACCCAAGAGAAGCCAGUAAAAGUGAGUCUCAGAUUCUCACCAUGUGCUGGCAGUUUUACACGCUGUCAGUAAUAAAAGACUUCUCCCUGCAGGGCAGCCUGCCUCCAAUAAAUACGCGUAGUAUCAAAUCCUGUCUUCCCUCAUAAAUUGUUUGGAAGCUCCCCAAGGACAGUGAUGAGGCGCUCGUAAGUGCUUGCUGCCUAGAUGGGUCCCUCUCCACCUUUGCUAGAUUCUGAGCAUUCACUGAGUUAGAGCUGCUUCUGCAAAUGUGCUGCUUCUGCUAAGUGGCUGUGACUUCAUGCAGCCUUCACUUGGUUUGUCAUCAGUGGAGGUGCCCUGUGUUGUCGAUGGAGAUAAGCCCAGUAAGCCUGCUGGGCACCUUUUUGUUUGCAGGUUCAGCAAGGCAGCCCAUGGCUUUCCCUCUGUUGCAUUGAAGCAGCUGGCUAAAAUUGAUGAUACAUUAAAUUCCUGUGACAGAUGAUCAGCUUGCAUUUGUGUAAUGGUGUACAGUUUACAAAGCUUAAAAAAAUACUACCUGCCAUUUCAUCCUCAGCGAGGAAGGUGAUACACAGAGAGACCAAGUGACUGUGUCCAAGGCGAUGGUGUUAUGCAUUUCACUUUAACGGUUUAAUGUACUCUACCUAUAUUUUUACUUUAUAUUUACCAUGUAUAUUUUCAUGUAUACUUGGCAUAAGUGCUUUAUAGUAGUCACCUAAUUCACUGUCAUCUUUUUUGUUUCUUGGAAGGUUUCUAUUACAACUGGUUGGUAUUCUUUUAGAAGACAUUGUUACAAAACAGCUGAAGGUGGAAAUGAGUGAGCAGCAACAUACUUUCUAUUGCCAAGAACUAGGCACACUGCUAAUGUGUCUGAUCCACAUCUUCAAGUCUGGAAUGUUCCGGAGAAUCACAGCAGCUGCCACUAGACUGUUCCGCAGCGAUGGCUGUGGCGGCAGUUUCUACACCCUGGACAGCUUGAACUUGCGGGCUCGUUCCAUGAUCACCACCCACCCGGCCCUGGUGCUGCUCUGGUGUCAGAUACUGCUGCUUGUCAACCACACCGACUACCGCUGGUGGGCAGAAGUGCAGCAGACCCCAAAAAGACACAGUCUGUCCAGCACAAAGUUACUUAGUCCCCAGAUGUCUGGAGAAGAGGAGGAUUCUGACUUGGCAGCCAAACUUGGAAUGUGCAAUAGAGAAAUAGUACGAAGAGGGGCUCUCAUUCUCUUCUGUGAUUAUGUCUGUCAGAACCUCCAUGACUCCGAGCACUUAACGUGGCUCAUUGUAAAUCACAUUCAAGAUCUGAUCAGCCUUUCCCACGAGCCUCCAGUACAGGACUUCAUCAGUGCCGUUCAUCGGAACUCUGCUGCCAGCGGCCUGUUCAUCCAGGCAAUUCAGUCUCGUUGUGAAAACCUUUCAACUCCAACCACGCUGAAGAAAACUCUUCAGUGCUUGGAGGGGAUCCAUCUCAGCCAGUCGGGAGCUGUGCUCACGCUGUAUGUGGACAGGCUUCUGUGCACCCCUUUCCGUGUGCUGGCUCGCAUGGUCGACAUCCUUGCUUGUCGCCGGGUAGAAAUGCUUCUGGCUGCAAAUUUACAGCAUGGCCCAGUUGCCAAUGGAAGAACUCAACAGAAUCCAGGAAUACCUUCAGAGCAGCGGGCUCGCUCAGAGGUUUCGUCUCUCCACCAUGCAAGACUCACUUAGUCCCUCUCCUCCAGUCUCUUCCCACCCGCUGGACGGGGAUGGGCACGUGUCACUGGAAACAGUGAGUCCGGACAAAGACUGGUACAUUCAUCUUGUCAAAUCCCAGUGUUGGAUCAGGUCAGAUUCUGCACUGCUGGAAGGUGCAGAGCUGGUGAAUCGGAUUCCUGCUGAAGAUAUGAGUGCCUUCAUGAUGAACUCGGCGUUCAACCUAAGCCUGCUAGCUCCAUGCUUAAGCCUAGGGAUGAGUGAAAUUUCUGGUGGCCAGAAGAGUGCCCUUUUUGAAGCAGCCCGUGAGGUGACUCUGGCCCGCGUGAGCGGCACCGUGCAGCAGCUCCCUGCUGUCCAUCAUGUCUUCCAGCCCGAGCUGCCUGCAGAGCCGGCGGCCUACUGGAGCAAGUUGAAUGAUCUAUUUGGGGAUGCUGCACUGUAUCAGUCCCUGCCCACUCUGGCCCGGGCCCUGGCACAGUACCUGGUGGUGGUCUCCAAACUGCCCAGUCAUUUGCACCUUCCUCCUGAGAAAGAGAAGGACAUCGUGAAAUUCGUGGUGGCAACCCUUGAGGCCCUGUCCUGGCAUUUGAUCCAUGAGCAGAUCCCGCUGAGUCUGGAUCUCCAGGCAGGGCUGGACUGCUGCUGCCUGGCCCUGCAGCUGCCUGGCCUCUGGAGCGUGGUCUCCUCCACAGAGUUUGUGACCCACGCCUGCUCCCUCAUCCACUGUGUGCACUUCAUCCUGGAGGCCGUUGCAGUGCAGCCUGGAGAGCAGCUUCUUAGUCCAGAAAGAAGGACAAAUACCCCAAAAGCCAUCAGCGAGGAGGAGGAGGAAGUAGAUCCAAACACACAGAAUCCUAAGUAUAUCACCGCAGCCUGUGAGAUGGUGGCAGAAAUGGUGGAGUCUCUGCAGUCGGUGUUGGCCUUGGGUCAUAAAAGGAAUAGCGGCGUGCCGGCGUUCCUCACGCCAGUGCUCAGGAACAUCAUCAUCAGCCUGGCCCGCCUGCCCCUUGUCAACAGCUACACACGUGUGCCCCCACUGGUGUGGAAGCUUGGAUGGUCACCCAAACCGGGAGGGGAUUUUGGCACAGCAUUCCCUGAGAUCCCCGUGGAGUUCCUCCAGGAAAAGGAAGUCUUUAAGGAGUUCAUCUACCGCAUCAACACACUAGGCUGGACCAGUCGUACUCAGUUUGAAGAAACUUGGGCCACCCUCCUUGGUGUCCUGGUGACGCAGCCCCUCGUGAUGGAGCAGGAGGAGAGCCCACCAGAAGAAGACACAGAGAGGACCCAGAUCAACGUCUUGGCCGUGCAGGCCAUCACCUCACUGGUGCUCAGUGCAAUGACUGUGCCUGUUGCCGGCAACCCAGCUGUAAGCUGCUUGGAGCAGCAGCCCCGGAACAAGCCUCUGAAAGCUCUCGACACCAGGUUUGGGAGGAAGCUGAGCAUUAUCAGAGGGAUUGUGGAGCAAGAGAUUCAAGCAAUGGUUUCAAAGAGAGAGAAUAUUGCCACCCAUCAUUUAUACCAGGCAUGGGAUCCUGUCCCUUCUCUGUCUCCAGCUACUACAGGUGCCCUCAUCAGCCACGAGAAGCUGCUGCUGCAGAUCAACCCCGAGCGGGAGCUGGGGAGCAUGAGCUACAAACUCGGCCAGGUGUCCAUACACUCCGUGUGGCUGGGGAACAGCAUCACACCCCUGAGGGAGGAGGAAUGGGACGAGGAAGAGGAGGAGGAGGCCGACGCCCCUGCACCUUCGUCACCACCCACGUCUCCAGUCAACUCCAGGAAACACCGGGCUGGAGUUGACAUCCACUCCUGUUCACAGUUUUUGCUUGAGUUGUACAGCCGCUGGAUCCUGCCGUCCAGCUCAGCCAGGAGGACCCCGGCCAUCCUCAUCAGUGAGGUGGUCAGAUCCCUUCUAGUGGUCUCAGACUUGUUCACCGAGCGCAACCAGUUUGAGCUGAUGUAUGUGACGCUGACAGAACUGCGAAGGGUGCACCCUUCAGAAGACGAGAUCCUCGCUCAGUACCUGGUGCCUGCCACCUGCAAGGCAGCUGCCGUCCUUGGGAUGGACAAGGCCGUGGCGGAGCCUGUCAGCCGCCUGCUGGAGAGCACACUCAGGAGCAGCCACCUGCCCAGCAGGGUCGGAGCCCUGCACGGCGUCCUCUAUGUGCUGGAGUGCGACCUGCUGGACGACACUGCCAAGCAGCUCAUCCCAGUCAUCAGCGACUAUCUCCUCUCCAACCUGAAAGGGAUCGCCCACUGCGUGAACAUUCACAGCCAGCAGCACGUACUGGUCAUGUGUGCCACUGCGUUUUACCUCAUUGAGAACUAUCCUCUGGACGUAGGGCCGGAAUUUUCAGCAUCAAUAAUACAGAUGUGUGGGGUGAUGCUGUCUGGAAGUGAGGAGUCCACCCCCUCCAUCAUUUACCACUGUGCCCUCAGAGGCCUGGAGCGCCUCCUGCUCUCUGAGCAGCUCUCCCGCCUGGAUGCAGAAUCGCUGGUCAAGCUGAGUGUGGACAGAGUGAACGUGCACAGCCCGCACCGGGCCAUGGCGGCUCUGGGCCUGAUGCUCACCUGCAUGUACACAGGAAAGGAGAAAGUCAGUCCGGGUAGAACUUCAGACCCUAAUCCUGCAGCCCCCGACAGCGAGUCAGUGAUUGUUGCUAUGGAGCGGGUAUCUGUUCUUUUUGAUAGGAUCAGGAAAGGCUUUCCUUGUGAAGCCAGAGUGGUGGCCAGGAUCCUGCCCCAGUUUCUAGACGACUUCUUCCCACCCCAGGACAUCAUGAACAAAGUCAUCGGAGAGUUUCUGUCCAACCAGCAGCCAUACCCCCAGUUCAUGGCCACCGUGGUGUAUAAGGUGUUUCAGACCCUGCACAGCACCGGGCAGUCGUCCAUGGUCCGGGACUGGGUCAUGCUGUCCCUCUCCAACUUCACGCAGAGGGCCCCAGUCGCCAUGGCCACGUGGAGCCUCUCCUGCUUCUUCGUCAGCGCGUCCACCAGCCCGUGGGUUGCAGCGAUCCUCCCACAUGUCAUCAGCAGGAUGGGCAAGCUGGAGCAGGUGGACGUGAACCUUUUCUGCCUGGUCGCCACAGACUUCUACAGACACCAGAUAGAGGAGGAGCUCGACCGCAGGGCCUUCCAGUCUGUGCUUGAGGUGGUUGCAGCCCCAGGAAGCCCAUAUCACCGGCUGCUGACUUGUUUACGAAAUGUCCACAAGGUCACCACCUGCUGAGCGCCAUGGUGGGAGAGACUGUGAGGCGGCAGCUGGGGCCGGAGCCUUUGGAAGUCUGCGCCCUUGUGCCCUGCCUCCACCGAGCCAGCUUGGUCCCUAUGGGCUUCCGCACAUGCCGCGGGCGGCCAGGCAACGUGCGUGUCUCUGCCAUGUGGCAGAAGUGCUCUUUGUGGCAGUGGCCAGGCAGGGAGUGUCUGCAGUCCUGGUGGGGCUGAGCCUGAGGCCUUCCAGAGAGCAGGAGCAGCUGUGCUGCACCCCAUGUGGGUGACCAGGUCCUUUCUCCUGAUAGUCACCUGCUGGUUGUUGCCAGGUUGCAGCUGCUCUUGCAUCUGGGCCAGAAGUCCUCCCUCCUGCAGGCUGGCUGUUGGCCCCUCUGCUGUCCUGCAGUAGAAGGUGCCGUGAGCAGGCUUUGGGAACACUGGCCUGGGUCUCCCCGGUGGGGUGUGCAUGCCACGCCCCGUGUCUGGAUGCACAGAUGCCAUGGCAUGUGCUGGGCCAGUGGCUGGGGGUGCUAGACACCCAGCACCAUUCUCCCUUCUCUCUUUUCUUCUCAGGAUUUAAAAUUUAAUUAUAUCAGUAAAGAGAUUAAUUUUAACGUAACUCUUUCUAUGCCCGUGUAAAGUAUGUGAAUCGCAAGGCCUGUGCUGCAUGCGACAGCGUCCGGGGAGGUGGACAGGGCCCCCGGCCACGCUCCCUCUCCUGUAGCCACUGGCAUAGCCCUCCUGAGCACCCGCUGACAUUUCCGUUGUACAUGUUCCUGUUUAUGCAUUCACAAGGUGACUGGGAUGUAGAGAGGCGUUAGUGGGCAGGUGGCCACAGCAGGACUGAGGACAGGCCCCCAUUAUCCUAGGGGUGUGCUCACCUGCAGCCCCUCCUCCUCGGGCACAGACGACUGUCGUUCUCCACCCACCAGUCAGGGACAGCAGCCUCCCUGUCACUCAGCUGAGAAGGCCAGCCCUCCCUGGCUGUGAGCAGCCUCCGCUGUGUCCAGAGACAUGGGCCUCCCACUCCUGUUCCUUGCUAGCCCUGGGGUGGUGUCUGCCUAGGAGCUGCCUGGCAGGUGUUGGGACCUGCUGCUCCAUGGAUGCAUGCCCCAAGAGUGUCACUGAGCUGUGUUUUGUCUGAGCCUCUCUUGGUCAACAGCAAAGCUUGGUGUCUUGGCACUGUUAGUGACAGAGCCCAGCAUCCCUUCUGCCCCUGUUCCAGCCGACAUCUUGCACGGUGACCCCUUUUAGUCAGGAGAGUGCAGAUCUGUGCUCAUCGGAGACUGCCCCACGGCCCUGUCAGAGCCGCCACUCCUAUCCCCAGGCCAGGUCCCUGGACCAGCCUCCUGUUUGCAGGCCCAGAGGAGCCAAGUCAUUAAAAUGGAAGUGGAUUCUGGAUGGCCGGGCUGCUGCUGAUGUAGGAGCUGGAUUUGGGAGCUCUGCUUGCCGACUGGCUGUGAGACGGGGCAGGGGCUCUGCUUCCUCAGCCCUAGAGGUGAGCCAGGCAAGGUUGGCAACUGUCAUGUGGCUUGGUUUGGUCAUGCCCGUCGAUGUUUUGGGUAUUGAAUAUGGUAAGUGGAGGAAAUGUUGGAACUCUGUGCAGGUGCUGCCUUGAGACCCCCAAGCUUCCACCUGUCCCUCUCCUAUGUGGCAGCUGGGGAGCAGCUGAGAUGUGGACUUGUAUGCUGCCCACAUACGUGAGGGGGAGCUGAAAGGGAGCCCCUGCUCAAAGGGAGCCCCUCCUCUGAGCAGCCUCUGCCAGGCCUGUAUGAGGCUUUUCCCACCAGCUCCCAACAGAGGCCUCCCCCAGCCAGGACCACCUCGUCCUCGUGGCGGGGCAGCAGGAGCGGUAGAAAGGGGUCCGAUGUUUGAGGAGGCCCUUAAGGGAAGCUACUGAAUUAUAACACGUAAGAAAAUCACCAUUCUUCCGUAUUGGUUGGGGGCUCCUGUUUCUCAUCCUAGCUUUUUCCUGGAAAGCCCGCUAGAAGGUUUGGGAACUAGGGGAAAGUUCUCAGAACUGUUGCUGCUCCCCACCCGCCUCCCGCCUCCCCCCCAGGUUAUGUCAGCAGCUCUGAGACAGCAGUAUCACAGGCCAGAUGCUGUUCCUGGCUAGAUGUUUACAUUUGUAAGAAAUAACACUGUGAAUGUAAAACAGAGCCAUUCCCUUGGAAUGCAUAUCGCUGGGCUCAACAUAGAGUUUGUCUUCCUCUUGUUUACGACGUGAUCUAAACCAGUCCUUAGCAAGGGGCUCAGAACACCCCGCUCUGGCAGUAGGUGUCCCCCACCCCCAAAGACCUGCCUGUGUGCUCCGGAGAUGAAUAUGAGCUCAUUAGUAAAAAUGACUUCACCCACGCAUAUACAUAAAGUAUCCAUGCAUGUGCAUAUAGACACAUCUAUAAUUUUAUACACACACCUCUCAAGAUGGAGAUGCAUGGCCUCUAAGAGUGCCCGUGUCGGUUCUUCCUGGAAGUUGACUUUCCUUAGACCUGCCAGGUCAAGUUAGCCGCGUGACGGACAUCCAGGUGUGGGACAUGGUCAGGGCAGGGCUCAUUCAUUGCCCACUAGGAUCCCACUGGAGAAGAUGGUCUCCAUAUCAGCUCUCUGCAGAAGGGAGGAAGACUUUAUCAUGUUCCUAAAAAUCUGUGGCAAGCACCCAUCGUAUUAUCCAAAUUUUGUUGAAAAUGUGAUUAAUUUGGUUGUCAAGUUUUGGGGGUGGGCUGUGGGGAGAUUGCUUUUGUUUUCCUGCUGGUAAUAUCAGGAAAGAUUUUAAUGAAACCAGGGUAGAAUUGUUUGGCAAUGCACUGAAGCGUGUUUCUUUCCCAAAAUGUGCCUCCCUUCCGCUGCGGGCCCAGCUGAGUCUAUGUAGGUGAUGUUUCCAGCUGCCAAGUGCUCUUUGUUACUGUCCACCCUCAUUUCUGCCAGCGCAUGUGUCCUUUCAAGGGGAAAAUGUGAAGCUGAACCCCCUCCAGACACCCAGAAUGUAGCAUCUGAGAAGGCCCUGUGCCCUAAAGGACACCCCUCGCCCCCAUCUUCAUGGAGGGGGUCAUUUCAGAGCCCUCGGAGCCAAUGAACAGCUCCUCCUCUUGGAGCUGAGAUGAGCCCCACGUGGAGCUCGGGACGGAUAGUAAACAGCAAUAACUCGGUUUGUAGCCGCCUGGCAGGUGGAACUUGCUCCCACUGCGGGGUGGAGUGAGGUUAGUUCUGUGUGUCUGGUGGGUGGAGUCAGGCUUCUCUUGCUACCUGUGAGCCUCAUUCCCAGCAGACAUCCUCAUCGGGCUUUGUCCCUCCCCCGCUUCCUCCCUCUGCGGGGAGGACCCGGGACCACAGCUGCUGGCCAGGGUAGACUUGGAGCUGUCCUCCAGAGGGGCCACGUGUGGGAGUGAGAAGAAGGAAGAUCUUGAGAGCUGCUGAGGGACCUUGGAGAGCUCAGGAUGGCUCAGACGAGAAGAGGACACUCGCUUGCCGGGCCUGGGCCUCCUGGGAAGGAGGGAGCCGCUCAGAGUGCCGCAUGACAACUGAAGGCAACCUGGAAGGUUCAGGGGCCGCUCUUCCCCCAUGUGCCUGUCACGCUCUGGUGCAGUCAAAGGAACGCCUUCCCCUCAGUUGUUUCUAAGAGCGGAGUCUCCCGCUGCAAUCUGGGUGGUAACUGCCAGCCUUGGAGGAUCGUGGCCAACGUGGACCUGCCUACGGAGGGUGGGCUCUGACCCAAGUGGGGCCUCCUUGUCCAGGUCUCACUGCUUUGCGCCGUGGUCAGAGGGACUGUCAGCUGAGCUUGAGCUCCCCUGGAGCCAGCAGGGCUGUGAUGGGCGAGUCCCGGAGCCCCACCCAGACCUGACUGCUUCUGAGAGCAAAGGGAAGGACUGACGAGAGAUGUAUAUUUAAUUUUUUUUAACUGCUGCAAACAUUGUACAUCCAAAUUAAAG